rnacentral:rRNA from 1 species
UACGUAGGGUGCGAGCGUUACUCGGAAUUACUGGGCGUAAAGCGUGCGCAGGCGGGCUUUUAAGCCAGACGUGAAAUCCCCGGGCUUAACCUGGGAAUGGCGUUUGGGACUGGAAGUCUGGAGUGCGGCAGAGGAGACUGGAAUUCCUGGUGUAGCAGUGAAAUGCGUAGAGAUCAUGAGGAAGACCAGUGGCGAAGGCGGGUCUCUGGACAGUUCCUGACACUGAGGCACGAAGGCCAGGGGAGCAAACGAG